UUUACAAUAAAAAUCAUAGGAAUAAUAAGGAUAAUAGAAUUGAUACAGUAGAAAAAACAAAACGAGGAACCAGAUAGUAAAGGAGGUGGUAGGAAAAUCUAUAUAUUGAACAACAUAACUUUUGGCCGAGGAGGGUAUAAAACUGAGCCUAAUCUUUGGUCUUAGCAUCUCACCAGCCUGGGAGAGAAAAUAACGCCCUGAAUGAGCACCAGGCAUCCCAUUCAGGUCCCACCAGAUGAAGAAGAAACAUCUGAUAAAAUCUAACACCUAUUUCUGAUAAAAAGUCUCAAAAACAACAAAGAACUUCCCCAACCUGACAGAGAACAUCUAUGUAAGCCAAUGGCUAACAUCAGACUCAAUGGUGGAAGACUUAAUGCUUUCCCUUUAAGACCAGGAACAAGGGCCAUGGAUGGAGUUGGAAGCCAUUAUCCUUAGCAAACUAACACAGGAACAGAAAAUCAAAUGCUGCAUCUUCUCACUUAUAAGUGGGAGCCAAACAAUGAGAACACAUGGACAUAGGGAGGAGAACAACACACACUGGGGCCUGCCUGUGGGGGAAGGUGGAGGGAGAAAGCAUCAGAUAAAUAGCUAAUGCAUGCAGGGCUUAAUUACUAGGUGAUGGGUUGAUAGGUGCAGCAAACCACCAUGGCACACAUUUACCUAUGUAACGAACCUAUACAUCCUGCACAUGCAUUC